UAAGAAAUUGGGAUUAAUACUGCAUGAUAUUGAUUUAUUGCAUGAUAAAUUAAUCAAAGCUACGGCGGUAAGAGAUGAGUAUGCGUAAUAUUAGCUAGUUGGUAAGGUAACGGCUUACCAAGGCUACGAUAUUUAGGGGGCCUGAGAGGGUUAUCCCCCACACUGGUACUGAGACACGGACCAGACUCCUACGGGAGGCAGCAGUGAGGAAUAUUGGUCAAUGAAGGCAACUCUGAACCAGCCAUGCCGCGUGAAGGAAGAAUGUCCUAUGGAUUGUAAACUUCUUUUAUUUGGGAAGAAACCUACUCACGUGUGAGUAGCUGACGGUACCAAAAGAAUAAGGACCGGCUAACUCCGUGCCAGCAGCCGCGGUAAUACGGAGGGUCCAAGCGUUAUCCGGAAUCAUUGGGUUUAAAGGGUUCGCAGGCGGUUUAUUAAGUCAGUGGUGAAAUCCCAUAGCUCAACUAUGGAACUGCCAUUGAUACUGAUAGACUUGAAUAUAGUUGGAGUAGGCGGAAUGUGUAGUGUAGCGGUGAAAUGCUUAGAUAUUACACAGAACACCGAUAGCGAAGCAGCUUACUAAACUAUGAUUGACGCUCAUGAACGAAAGCGUGGGGAGCGAACAGGAUUAGAUACCCUGGUAGUCCACGCCGUAAACGAUGAUUACUCGAUAUUGGCGAUAUACGGUCAGUGUCUAAGCGAAAGUGAUAAGUAAUCCACCUGGGGAGUACGGUCGCAAGAUUGAAACUCAAAGGAAUUGACGGGGGCCCGCACAAGCGUGGAGCAUGUGGUUUAAUUCGAUGAUACGCGAGGAACCUUACCAGGGCUUAAAUGCAGAGUGACCGAUCUGGAAACAGAUCUUUCUUCGG
rnacentral:rRNA from 1 species